rnacentral:rRNA from 1 species
GAAUUUUGGACAAUGGGCGCAAGCCUGAUCCAGCCAUGCCGCGUGUGUGAAGAAGGCCUUCGGGUUGUAAAGCACUUUCGGCCGGAACGAAAUCGCGCGGGUUAAUAGUCCGCGUGGAUGACGGUACCCGAAGAAGAAGCCCCGGCUAACUUCGUGCCAGCAGCCGCGGUAAUACGUAGGGUGCGAGCGUUAAUCGGAAUUACUGGGCGUAAAGGGUGCGCAGGCGGCGUCGCAAGUCAGGCGUGAAAUCCCCGGGCUUAACCUGGGAACUGCACUUGAAACUACGAUGCUGGAGUAUGGCAGAGGGAGGUGGAAUUCCACGUGUAGCGGUGAAAUGCGUAGAGAUGUGGAGGAACACCGAUGGCGAAGGCAGCCUCCUGGGCCAAUACUGACGCUCAUGCACGAAAGCGUGGGAAGCAAACAGGAUUAGAUACCCUGGUAGUCCACGCCCUAAACGAUGAUGACUAGUUGUUGGAGGAGUUAAAUCCUUUAGUAACGCAGCUAACGCGAGAAGUCAUCCGCCUGGGGAGUACGGUCGCAAGAUUAAAACUCAAAGGAAUUGACGGGGGCCCGCACAAGGGGUGGAUGAUGUGGUUUAAU